GAUGAACGCUGGCGGCGUGCUUAACACAUGCAAGUCGAACGGAAAGUCCCAAUCUUGCUUGGGUACUCGAGUGGCGAACGGGUGAGUAACACGUGGGUGAUCUGCCCUUCACUUCGGGAUAAGCCUGGGAAACUGGGUCUAAUACCGGAUAGGACCUCAUUCUUUAUGGUGGGGUGGAGAGUUUUUCGGUGUGUGAUGAGCUCGCGGCCUAUCAGCUUGUUGGUGGGGUAAUGGCCUACCAAGGCGUCGACGGGUAGCCGGCCUGAGAGGGUGUACGGCCACAUUGGGACUGAAAUACGGCACAGACCACUAUGGGACGCAGCAGUGGGGAAUAUUGCACAAUGGGCGGAAGGCUGAUGUAGCGACGCCGCGUGGGGGAUGACGGCCAUCGGGUUGUAAACUACUUUCGCUAGGGACGAAGCGCAAGUGACGGUACCUGGAGAAGAAGCACCGGCUAACUACGUG
rnacentral:rRNA from 1 species